UACGUAGGGUGCGAGCGUUGCCCGGAAUUAUUGGGCGUAAAGGGCGCGUAGGCGGCUUGGCAAGUGGAAGGUGAAAUCCCUCGGCUUAACCGAGGAACUGCCCUCCAAACUGCUUUGCUUGAGGCCGGGAGAGGCGAGUGGAAUUCCCAGUGUAGCGGUGAAAUGCGUAGAUAUUGGGAGGAACACCAGUGGCGAAGGCGGCUCGCUGGACCGGUUCUGACGCUGAGGCGCGAAAGCGUGGGGAGCAAACGGG
rnacentral:rRNA from 1 species